GGGAGAGUCGCCAGGAUCUUGAGAGCGAAUACAAAUUGUUACCGAUGGAAAAAUUCGGUGGAUAAUUUUUGGGGUGUCAAGUUCAUUCCUCAUAAAUGGCCAGAGAAAUUCGUAUCGAGCACCAAAGUCGAUAAUAUAUCGAGCUCCUGGUACAAGCAGCGUGAUGGUGAUAGGACUCGGAGUGCCCGGAACAGUGGGGAGUGGUGAAACGAUAAUAAUAGAUAAAUUAAGCCGAGGAUAAGCAGGAAGGAGAAAAGUGACAAAUCAAUAACAGAAAAUAUCUUAUUAGAUAUUGUUCUCAGUGACUGGUUUAUCAUUUAACUUUUAUGGAAUCAUUUAUGAUACUCACUUGCGUCCAGUGGAUUCACCAGGCCUGAGCUGUUCCAGUCAAAUUGAGCAGCUGGUACCUCCUG